rnacentral:rRNA from 1 species
UGAGGAAUAUUGGUCAAUGGACGAAAGUCUGAACCAGCCAAGUAGCGUGCAGGACGACGGCCCUCUGGGUUGUAAACUGCUUUUAGUUGGGAAUAAAACGCGGUACGUGUACCGCCUUGUAUGUACCAUCAGAAAAAGGACCGGCUAAUUCCGUGCCAGCAGCCGCGGUAAUACGGAAGGUUCGGGCGUUAUCCGGAUUUAUUGGGUUUAAAGGGAGCGCAGGCGGACUUUUAAGUCAGCUGUGAAAUCUGGCGGCUCAACCGUCAGACUGCAGUUGAUACUGGAAGUCUUGAGUGCACACAGGGAUGCUGGAAUUCAUGGUGUAGCGGUGAAAUGCUCAGAUAUCAUGAAGAACUCCGAUCGCGAAGGCAGGCAUCCGGGGUGCAACUGACGCUGAGGC